UGGGAACGGAAAAAAAUAAAUAUGACUCAAAUAAAACAGAUAAUUUGUCUAUGCACCAGAAAUUUGAUCAAUUAAUUGAUGAUUAUUUUCCCGAUUUAAAAGACGAAAAAGAAGAGAAAAUAGAAAGAUGUCCAAAAACGGGUGAUUAUGUAUUUAAGAAAAUAAAUAGGGACAAAGAAGAUUAUGUGAGAAUAUAUGAAAGUGACGGUCCUCCUAUAUUUACCGAUUUGGUGGAAAAUGAAUCUAAAAUUGGAACAGUACAUAUUACAAAUCCUUUGCCUAAAAUUGAAAGAAAAAAUGAGUUAAAGAAAGAUUACUUAGAGUGGCUAAAAAUGGAGAGAUUGAUGAAACCCAAUGAAAGAAGAGAAGAAUAUGAACUAAUGCAAAAUAAAUAUUUAGAAGUGUUGAUUCUGUAUAUAAUGAAAACACUGUGUUAUAUAAAGAUAAGUAUGAAGAAAUUAAAAAUAAAGAAAAAUAUAAAAAUAAAAUAUCUCAAGAACGAAGGGAAGCGCUUCAAAAACAAAAUAACAGAAAUGGUGAUAUACUAGCUUUUGAUCCUACUAGUAAAACGUAAAUCCCCAACUAAACCGUUACUGAUGAAUGUUUUUUUUUUUCUUUUUUUUUUUUUUAAUAUUAACAAAAGAUAUGGAAAUAUAUUGUGCAUACAUCUAUGUGUAAUUUACGUAUUUUACUACAUCCAUCAAUAUGAUUUUAUAAAAAAGAGUGUACAUUUAUAAAUUUUUUAUUAUUUGUUUAACAAUAAUUGGACAAACUAUAUAUUGUGAAUUUUUUUAAAUUAUUUGAUUUUAUUUUUAAUACUGCGUUUGUUUAUAUAUUUUUAUAUUAUUUCGUUUAUCAAAUUAAACAUUACAAGUAAGCAAUUAUGGAAAAUAUAUAUAUAUAUAUGAAUAAAACACAAAAAAAAAAAAAAAAAAAGUUAUUU
rnacentral:lncRNA from 1 species